UUCCUGGGUUGUCCGUGAACAUC
rnacentral:miRNA from 1 species